GGGGCCGUGGCGCAGUUGGUAGCGCAUCUGCUUUGCAAGCAGAGGGUCGCCGGUUCGAGUCCGGUCGGCUCCACCA
rnacentral:tRNA from 1 species